rnacentral:snoRNA from 1 species
UUGGAAGUGAUGAUACCUGUGACCCUUGACAUCCUGCUGAUUCUCUUGUAUUCGUACUGACUGAUCCCA